AACGAACGCUGGCGGCAGGCCUAACACAUGCAAGUCGAACGCGUCCUUCGGGACGAGUGGCAGACGGGUGAGUAACGCGUGGGACGUACCCUUUGGUUCGGAACAACUCCGGGAAACUGGAGCUAAUACCGGAUAAGCCCUUCGGGGAAAGAUUUAUCGCCAGAGGAUCGGCCCGCGUUAGAUUAGCUUGUUGGUGAGGUAAUGGCUCACCAAGGCUACGAUCUAUAGCUGGUCUGAGAGGAUGAUCAGCCACACUGGGACUGAGACACGGCCCAGACUCUUACGGGAGGCAGCAGUGGGGAAUCUUGGACAAUGGGCGAAAGCCUGAUCCAGCCAUGCCGCGUGAAUGAUGAAGGCCCUAGGUUGUAAAAUUCUUUCGACGGGGAAGAU
rnacentral:rRNA from 1 species